UCCGAGUUGUCCCCGGCAGUCCUCUUAGAGUCCCCGGCAUUACCCGCUGGCAACUAAGAGCAGGGGUUGCGCUCGUUGCGGCACUUAAGCCAACACCUCACGGCACGAGCUGACGACAGCCAUGCAGCACCUGUGCAAAGGCCCCGAAGGGAGAUCCCAUUUCUGGAACUGUCCUUUGCAUGUCAAGUCUGGGUAAGGUUCUUCGCGUUGCAUCGAAUUAAACCACAUGCUCCACUGCUUGUGCGGGUCCCCGUCAAUUCUUUUGAGUUUCAGCCUUGCGACUGUACUCCCCAGGCGGUAUACUUAACGCGUUAGCUACGGCACAACUAGGGUUGAGUCCAGUUACACCAAGUAUACAUAGUUUACGGCAAGGACUAC
rnacentral:misc_RNA from 1 species